UACAGAGGGUGCAAGCGUUAAUCAGAAUUACUGGGCGUAAAGGGCGCGUAGGCGGUUAUAUAAGUUAGAUGUGAAAUCCCUGGGCUCAACCUAGGAACUGCAUCUAAGACUGUAUGACUGGAGUGCAGUAGAGGGUAGUGGAAUUCCCGGUGUAGCGGUGAAAUGUGUAGAGAUCGGGAGGAACACCGGUGGCGAAGGCGGGUCUCUGG
rnacentral:rRNA from 1 species